rnacentral:rRNA from 1 species
GAGUUUGAUCUUGGCUCAGGACGAACGCUGGCGGCGCGCUUAACACAUGCAAGUCGAGCGAGAACCAGGGCUUCGGCUCUGGGGACAGCGGCGAACGGGGUGAGUAACACGUGGGUAAUCCACCCUCGGCACCGGAAUAGCCCGGGGAAACCCGGAUUAAUGCCGGAUGGCCCGUCGACCCUUCGGGGCUGACGGAAAAGGUAGCUUUGGCCUCCGGCCGGGGACGAGCCCGCGGCGGAUUAGCUUGUUGGUGGGGUAACGGCCCACCAAGGCUCCGAUCCGUAGCUGGUCUGAGAGGACGAUCAGCCACACUGGGACUGAGACACGGCCCAGACUCCUACGGGAGGCAGCAGUGGGGAAUCUUGCGCAAUGGGCGAAAGCCUGACGCAGCGACGCCGCGUGGGGGAAGAAGGCC